CAUUUUAGUUUGCUUGCAAACUGAAGAUGGCGACCGGCGCACGGGUGAGUAACACGUAUCCAACCUGCCGAUAACUCCGGGAUAGCCUUUCGAAAGAAAGAUUAAUACCGGAUGGCAUACGAAUAUCGCAUGAUAUUUUUAUUAAAGAAUUUCGGUUAUCGAUGGGGAUGCGUUCCAUUAGUUUGUUGGCGGGGUAACGGCCCACCAAGACUACAAUGGAUAGGGGUUCUGAGAGGAAGGUCCCCCACAUUGGAACUGAGACACGGUCCAAACUCCUACGGGAGGCAGCAGUGAGGAAUAUUGGUCAAUGGGCGAGAGCCUGAACCAGCCAAGUAGCGUGAAGGAUGAAGGCUCUAUGGGUCGUAAACUUCUUUUAUAUGGGAAUAAAGUUUUCCACGUGUGGAAUUUUGUAUGUACCAUAUGAAUAAGGAUCGGCUAACUCCGUGCCAGCAGCCGCGGUAAUACGGAGGAUCCGAGCGUUAUCCGGAUUUAUUGGGUUUAAAGGGAGCGUAGGUGGAUUGUUAAGUCAGUUGUGAAAGUUUGCGGCUCAACCGUAAAAUUGCAGUUGAAACUGGGAGUCUUGAGUACAGUAGAGGUGGGCGGAAUUCGUGGUGUAGCGGUGAAAUGCUUAGAUAUCACGAAGAACUCCGAUUGCGAAGGCAGCUCACUAGACUGUCACUGACAC
rnacentral:rRNA from 1 species